rnacentral:lncRNA from 1 species
AGCUGGAGGUGCUGAUUCUAGUUUGUGAUAUGUAAUAACUUGUUCAGACGGGCAAAGGACCCCCAAAACAAGACAAGGGACUUAGGGAGGGAAAUUUUUCUACUUCCUAAACAUGUUAUUGAGAAAUAACAAAACAACAUUAAAAAGAGAGAGAGAGAGAGAGAUUUCAGGCUAAGCAGCACUGCCAAACACUUGUUUUUAAAGGAAGAGGCAGUAAAUAUUGUGGGUGUAGCAGUUUCUGUCUCAACUAUUCAGCUCUGCUGUCACAAUGUGAAAGAAACCACAGAGAAGAUCACCACUACUCCCUCUUCAUCACAGAAUCAGCAGUUCUUUAUGUGGCCAUCACAAGCAGCUAGGACACGAAUUUGGUGGAUGCUGCAAGCAAAUAGGGUGGCAAGAAAGAAGCAAAAGGCAAGCUCGCCGUCCCUCACAUUUAUGCAUCUGGAGACUAUCUGCCCUCACCUGCUUUCGAGUCCUCUCCCUGAAUCCACUCUGAAUCCACGCUGA